GGCCAAAGCUCGUCGGGCAGUCGGACCAAAAGAAAAAAAAAACAUAGGCUUAUGUUUUCCCAUCCCAGCGAUUUCCGGCCAUCUAGAGUCUUGUUUUGGGAGGAGGGGAGACCCCUCCCAUACUCACCCCCUGCUCGGGCCUUCGGCCCUCAGAUAACGCUGCGCACUAAAGUUACAACCAUAAAUACUUAACCCCCCCCCAUUCGGACAUCUUAGUUCCCCUAUAAAUUAUAUCCUAGAGUCGCCACUGGCUAGAAAGUGCAAGUUCCUUGAUAAGUUCCUCAAAAUGUAUCACUAUAUAAAGUUGAGUGAUUUUUUCUUAUUUUGAGACUGUUGUAAUUGUUGUGAUGCAAUAGAAAAAAAAUUAAGUGUCCCCUAGUAUGGGUUAUUUGACCAUUUGGCACACUCAGAAAGUGUCCCCGUCCCCUUAAUAGGGGUUAGCCGCAGUGUUAAAAGAUAUAUCGCCCCUCAUUUCACGGAAAAGUUUCCCCUUAAUAGGGGUGACCCAAAGGAUGGGUUUUACUGUAGUAGCGCAUGUGUUAUUCCUUCAAUACUGAAUGUGUGUUUAUGAAAGUAACCUUUGGCCAUUGUACUGUCGAUGAUUAACUUAUUGGUGGUUGUUGUACUGUUUAAAAUUAUUAAGCAAAAUUUCAUAAGCUUAUGUACUUUGUUAUCUGCCGGUGAAUCAUGAAGCGGCCCAUUGCUCAGCUAUUAACAAUAACAAAAAUCCAGUAGGUUCAUGCACUGCUAAUAUUUUACCAGUCAUUUGAAUUUUCGUAUUAAGAAGUUAAAUACUUUACCGAUUUGGAGGCCAGCGAAAGACAUCUUCGCCAGAUAGACCUCUGUGGGCAGCUUGCUAACCAACGAUGAAGACAACCGAGUUUUACAACCAUUAAAGUGAGCUAACGUGAAUUUCUGUAAACCAGUUGCCAUACCAUGGCUUGCAGGCUCUUAACCUCUGCCACCAAUUGGUUUUAACUUCAUCAAGACUUUAAUGACAUUCAUUGUCAAAAUGAAGAGUAGGCGACACCUUUUUCUAAGGUCACUGAUAAUCAGUAUUCUUCUAGUAAUUAUAACUGGGCCAGGUUUGUGUAGCAGUAUCAAUGUCUUAACCCCUCCGACGCAACAAGCUACUGUUGGAUAUGCCACUUCCCUUCAAUGUUUUUAUGAGCUGGAGACAGCCUUAGAUGAUGAUGUCAUAGAUAUAACAUGGACACACAUAGUUGAUCGGAACAGUCUAAUUCAAAUUAUCGAGAGAAACGUUUCUAAAGUUGACGGGUAUUCCCUGGUAGGCGAGUUAUAUGGGGACGCCAGUCUGGGCAUCGCCACCGUGAAGGAAUCAGAUGAGGGCCUCUUUGUAUGUAAAGUUGUAAGCAGCGUCCAUGUUGUAUCUGCUUCUUCUACAACACAGCUAGAAGUGCAAUGGAAUAAUGUACCAAAAACCAAACAGAAGCCUCCAGGAACACUUCAGUUGGGAAACAACGUCAAUAUUACAUGUGUAGCAGAUGCGCUACCUUCUUCAACUAUAGAAUGGUCAAUAAAUAACCGUUCAAUACCAGUUGGCAAUAGUCAUUACCAUGUUCAGGGCGCUUUGCUAUCCAUAAACAAUCUAACGAGGGCGGAUCAUCAUGCUGAAAUCAGAUGUAGUUCUGUGAACAAUGUUGGACUGCAACUAAGCAAAGCACUUUUAUUACCAGUCGAAUAUGGACCAAAAAUUGUUUUGUCGUUAUCAGAAAAUAUAGUGACAUGUACCGUAGACGCAUUUCCAGUGGCUACCGUAAUUAUAUACGAGAACACUACUAAUCAAUAUAAACAAGUUGAGGAUACAGCAGUUGAAAUACACAUAGAAGACUGUAAACACGUGACUUGUAACGCGACCAAUUAUGUGUCAGCAAUAUCUUUCACAAGCUUUGUUUGUGAAAAUGAACAAAAACCAACAUACAAACCGAAUCCUCAAACAGUUGAAUAGCAUGUACGUUUUAUCUAACACAGGGUUAAAUGGAGGAGCAGUUGCUGGUAUCGUAAUUUCAAUUAUUGCAGUUUGUCUUCUCAUUGCUGGCAUUGUAAUUUGGAAAAAAAAAAAUUCAUUUAAAUAUAUGCGACCAACUCAACGAAAGGAUUUGGAUUGGUGA
rnacentral:misc_RNA from 1 species